rnacentral:rRNA from 1 species
GUCCACGCAGUAAACGAUGGAUGCCAGCUGUCCGGGGCGAUUGGGCCCUGGGCGGCACAGCGAAAGCGUUAAGCAUCCCACCUGGGGAGUACGCCGGCAACGGUGAAACUCAAAGGAAUUGACGGGGGCCCGCACAAGCGGAGGAACAUGUGGUUUAAUUCGAUGAUACGCGAGGAACCUUACCCGGGCUCAAACGGAAGACGGAUGUUUUUGAAAGGAGGCAGCCCUCGGGGCGUCUUCCGAGGUGCUGCAUGGUUGUCGU